CUUGGCCUCGCUGACAGGCUUAAUUAUGCAAAAUCUGACAUUUUAAAAGAUUAAGAAAACACAUUCACUUUAUAAUUAAGGAGCAAUGUUUAAUCUAUGUAAAUUCUUUACAUCCCACAUUGGUUGCUUAUCCCAUUAGCAAAGAAAAAGAAAAAAACACAGCUGCGGAAUAUCAGAACAGAAACAGUCUACAGAGUCCUGAUCAACUACUAUCUCGACACCAACCCUAGUUCCUAUAGUUUGGAU